GUAGUCAUACGCUCGUCUCAAAGAUUAAGCCAUGCAUGUGUAAGUAUAAAUAAUUUUACUUUGAAACUGCGAAUGGCUCAUUAUAUCAGUUAUAGUUUAUUAGAAAUAUUUUACUACUUGGAUAACCGUAGUAAUUCUAGGGCUAAUACAUGAGUAAAACCUCAACUUCGGAAGAGGUGUGUUUAUUAGUAUGAAAACCAUAUAUCUUCGGAUAUAAUAGUGAGUAAUAAUAACCUUUCGUAUCGUAUGUCGUAAGAUAACGAUAGUUCUUUCAAGUUUCUGCCCUAUCAGCUUUCGAUGGUAGUAUAUGGGACUACCAUGGCAGUAACGGGUAACGAAG
rnacentral:rRNA from 1 species